UGCCUGGAAACUCAACACUCUUCCGGUCAAAGGAGGCGACGUGAGGACGGGGAGCAGCACACGGCGUGGGUGGAGGCCUGGCAGUGGCAGAAUUGCUCACAGCGCUCCCCAGUCCAGAAGGCCUCCCCAGCCGGGUGGUGGUACCUGCCCCCCAUGGAGCAGCUGCACUGGAUUGGGGGCACGCAGUCCAUGCCACUGAGCACAAAGCCUGGGUCACACUGGCAGCCAUCCUGGCAUGGUGUCAGGCAGCUGUCGGGCAGGGCAGGCUCGGCACAAGAGCUAGGACAGGAGGAGCCGCAGAGCUCGUAAUUGCUGCGGGGAGGACAGGCCAGCUCUGGAAGAAAACAGACAGGGUCUUGCUCUGUUGCCCAGGCCAAGUGCAAUGGCAUGAUCUCAGCUCACUGCAGCCUCCCGAUUGUUCCGAUGAAACUUUUAACCACGUGGUUUGUUAUGCAUGUCACACCCACAGGCCACUUCAAACUUGCAGCACACAGUGAGCAACUCGGACAAUAUAGGGUCCAGUGCUGGGAGGGUCUCGCUCUGUCACCCAGGAUGCAGUGCAGUGGUGCCAGCAUGGCUCAUGGCAACCUCGAACUCCUGGACUCAAGAGAUUCUCCUGCCGCAGCCUCCAAGUAGCUGAGAAUACAGGUGUGCACCACCACCAGGCCUGGCUAAUUUUUUUUUUUUUUUUUUUAAUAAAGACGAGAUCUUGCUAUGUUGCCCAGACUGGUCUCAAACUCCUUAGCUCAAGUGAUCCUCCUGCCUUGGCCUCCCAAAAUGCUGGGAUGACAGACAAGAACCACCAUGCCCGGCCCGUUCCAUCAUUUCUUAUUGUGGGAACUUGGGCAGAUGCUUCGCCCUUCCAUGCCUCAGUCUUCCCCAUCCGUGAAAGG
rnacentral:lncRNA from 1 species